rnacentral:rRNA from 1 species
AUUGAACGCUGGCGGCAGGCCUAACACAUGCAAGUCGAACGAGUGGCGGACGGGUGAGUAAUGUCUGGGAAACUGCCUGAUGGAGGGGGAUAACUACUGGAACCGGUAGCUAAUACCGCAUACCAUCGGAUGUGCCCAGAUGGGAUUAGCUAGUAGGUGGGGUAACGGCUCACCUAGGCGACGAUCCCUAGCUGGUCUGAGAGGAUGACCAGCCACACUGGAACGGAGACACGGUCCAGACUCCUACGGGAGGCAGCAGUGGGGAAUAUUGGACAAUGGGCGAAAGCCUGAUGCAGCCAUGCCGCGUGUAUGAAGAAGGCCUUCGGGUUGUAAAGUACUUUCAGCGGGGAGGCGUUACCCGAAGAAGAAGCACCGGCUAACUCCGUGCCAGCAGCCGCGGUAAUAC